AAAGUCGUAACAAGGUUUCCGUAGUUGAACCUGCGGAAGGAUCAUUAGAAAAUUGUACCAAAAACAAUAUUCCUUAUCCCACCUUGUGUGCACCCAUUGAAACCAUGCUUUGGGAGGUUUCUCCUUUGUUGGAAUUGGAGAUCCUCAAGCCUCCCAAGGUGGUUCUCCUCGUAACACCUUUUUCCUGAAAAAUCAAACAUAAUAAAAAAUACAGCUUUCAACAACGGAUCUCUUGGCUCUC
rnacentral:misc_RNA from 1 species